rnacentral:tRNA from 1 species
UCUAAUAUGGCAGAAUAGUGCAAUGAACUUAAGCUUCAAAUAUAAAGAAUAACUUUUAUUAGAA